rnacentral:rRNA from 1 species
GUACUGUGCAAACGUUGUUCGGAAUCACUGGGCUUAAAGGGUACGUAGGCGGCCAGUUAAGUAGGGUGUGAAAUCCCCCGGCUCAACCGGGGAACUGCGCUCUAAACUGAUUGGCUUGAGUGAGAUAGGGGUGUGCGGAACUUCCAGUGGAGCGGUGAAAUGUGUUGAUAUUGGAAGGAACGCCGUUAGCGAAAGCGGCACACUGGGUCUCAACUGACGCUGAGGUACGAAAGCCAGGGUAGCGAACGGGAUUAGAUACCCCGGGUAGUCCUGGCUGUAAACGUUGAGCACUAGUCGGGAGGGGUUUCGGCCCCUUCCGGACGCAGCGAAAGCACUAAGUGCUCCGCCUGGGGAGUAUGGUCGCAAGGCUG